GUCAGGAUGGCCGAGCGGUCUAAGGCGCUGCGUUCAGGCCAUGGAGGCGUGGGUUCGAAUCCCACUUCUGACA